rnacentral:misc_RNA from 1 species
GAUGAAGAACGCAGCGAAAUGCGAUAAGUAAUGCGAAUUGCAGAAUUUCCGUGAGUCAUCGAAUCUUUGAACGCACAUUGCGCCCAUUGGCAUUCCGAUGGGCAUGCCUGUUCGAGCGUCAUUAUCCUCCCUCAAACCCCUGGGUUUGGUGUUGGACUGUGUGGUGCCUGGCACCACUGGUCUCAAAGACAAUGACGGCGUCCGUGGGACCCUCGGUGCAACGAGCUUUUCGAAGCACGCGUCGAGUGGCCAGUCUCUCCGGGCCGGUCACCUCUCCAAUUUUUCUCAGGUUGACCUCGGAUCAGGUAGGAAUACCCGCUGAACUUAAGCAUAUCAAUAAGCGGAGGA